AAUCAACGCUGGCGGCGUGCCUCAGACAUGCAAGUCGAACGCGAAAGUCCCCUUCGGGGGACAAGUAGAGUGGCGCACGGGUGAGUAACACGUAGGUAAUCUACCUUCGGAUGGGGAAUAACAACCGGAAACGGUUGCUAAUACCGCAUAAUGCAGCGGCACCUAAUGGUGACAGUUGUUAAAGCGGGGGAUCGAAAGACCUCGCGUCUGAAGAGGAGCCUGCGGCGGAUUAGCUAGNGGUAAGGUAAUGGCUUACCAAGGCGACGAUCCGUAGCCGGCCUGAGAGGGGCGGUCGGCCACACUGACACUGACAUACGGGUCAGACUCCUACGGGAGGCAGCAGUCGGGAAUUUUGGGCAAUGGGCGAAAGCCUGACCCAGCAACGCCGCGUGAAGGAUAGAAAUCCCUCGGGAUGUAAACUUCGCAAGAACGGGAAGAAUAAG
rnacentral:rRNA from 1 species